AUUUAUUAAUUCAUUAAUUGCCAUUUACUGUACAGGCCAUGUUGCACUGAAUUUGUUCACAGGUUAAACUUCGAUAUUGCAUUUUCUUUAUUUCCAUUACUACAUUCAGUAACAAUGAAUUCGUCAUCUUAACUUUAAAUAUUAAGCUCUGUACAAACUUGAGAAAUGUUAUGAUGGUGUGUUAACUUUCCCCUGAUCUAAAAUGAUAUGCAUUUACGUGUCUCGCCCGUGGUUAGAUACACAGGAGUAUGUUUAGUGAUCUGAGAUGACAUGUUAGGGACCUAGAAUUUGCCAAAACAAACGCGGUGAUGCAACUCUGUCUGAAGUGUGCGCGGCGCUUCGAGACAUCACUCUCUGGCAAUGAGUGAUCCUGUUUUGCUCUGUCUUCAGGACAGAGGGAACGCUGAGGUCUUUUCCUUAGAUGACAUCAUUGAUUCUUUCUUUCUUUCCUUCUUUUUUGAGUAACAUUAUUUAUUUAUUUAUUUGAUUGUUCACUUCUCAUAUCCAUCACAUGACAAAGCAUGGUGUGCUUACUAAUGCUAAGCAAGUGAGACGAGAGAGAGAGGAGGGAGGGUGUGAGUGGGAGAGAGACACAAAGAGAGCUUGUCAUACUUGCUUAAGGAUGAAAUAUUAAGUGUGCAGCCAGGUUGUAAUUUUCUCCAGCAAGUGCAGAAAGGGUUUGGGGGAGGAAUCACACCAUGACUUUCCCUUUUAUUCUCCAAGCUGAAUAUUACUAUUUAAACAGCAUUAUUUUAAUUACAGGUGCAAUAAAACCAGAGCUGUUUAAAAUCUGGUGUUCUACUUCUAAUACACAGAAUAAUAAAUCGAUAAACACUGUGCUGCUCUGUCUAAACAGAGGACGUUUGACAUUUACCUGCAAAGAGCGUGUGUGGAACUUUUUCCUGAUGUGAUACAGAGGGACUGGUGAGGAUUUCAUCUCGCUUUUACUGAUCUCCAAAGGGGACUGUAGAGGAGUGAGCCGGGGUGAUGGAAGAGUUAACAGGGUUAAGGAGUGGAGAGCUAUAGUAUAUCCUCAUCCAUCAGUGAGGCUGAUAAUCACAACACAGGAUAGAGAAUGAAGACGGGACAUCUGUACAUUAGAAUGAAAUUAAUCACACAUAUGAGUUUUUUUUUUUUUUGUGGAAUCAUGGGAAUUCAAGCAUUAUAAUCACUUGAUUUUCCCAACACAGCUCACCUACCAAUAAACAAAAUUGAUGAGCGAUGGUUUAAAUUAAUCUCUGAACGAUAUUGUGUGAUGCAAAUAGAGAGGACUUAAAUGCAUAAUACAGACUUUGCUACGUGUGAAUAUGGAAAGUGUUAUAAAAGAGGUGAGAGUAAGAGGAAAGUCUUAUCGUCCCUCAAUCUUUCCCUCUAUUUUCUUUCCCCCAUUCUCUUCUUCUGUCUUCAGUGCUGAUGAAAUAUCGCUAUUGUUUAUGCUGAAGAUUAGAAUGAAAUUGGGCUGAAACUGGUUGUUCUGAGGAGAUGGAGAUAAGGCAGAGGAUUUGUAUGGGGCCGUGUGUGGGACCCUCUUAUCGGGGCCCCUGCCACAGGCACCAUAUAAAGUUGUUCAUGCUAAUUAGCCCAGGCAGAAGCCCAGCCCUCACUAUGAUGGCAAUUCAGCGAGGCCCCCACACUAACACUCAUAAAUACGCAUCCUGUUCAUUAUCAUGACUUUUAUCCUUUUUCCUUACCAAGACAAGAUAAGAAAUUUAAUUACAAAAAUUUACAUUUCACAGCAAGAAGUCUGGAUAAACAAAUAGUUUUUAUCAGUGCCGUUUUUAAAAGAGAGCGCCUGACACUUCUUUGACCAAGACAUUCCACAGCUUAAUGCACAUUCACCCAAAACGGAGAAUAAGAAAUAAUGUUUGCUUGGGUCUUUGAAGAAGAAUGAUUCAUUUGAUGACACAGUAUUUGCAACACAUGAAUUGAUUAAACGUCUUCAGAUGAUUUCUCUGUUGCCAUGAGACGCAGGUGUUGUUUCUUAGUCUCAGAGUAACAGUACAGUCUAGUUUAUUAACACUUUCACCUUGACACAUCCUGCCUUAUGUGAGCACCCACUAGAGCCUUCUGACCUUUACAGGAAAAUGGAGUGGUUUUCAAUAUGUGCAGACCCCAAGGACUCCUAUUUGUGCUUUUAAAUUACAUGUAUUAGGCAUUUUACACAUUUCCAGACUUUUGUAUGUGUAUGUGUGUGUUAUCGUGAGUGCUUUUGGAUAGACCAUCCAUUACGGCAAUAUGCAACUUCUGGUAACUGCAAGAAAUGUGGAUGUGAAGCAUCUAGUUCUUUUAUUAGUAUGCUGUAUAUAUUAAAAAAGAAUGGAGGACAGAGUAUAAUAUUUGGUAAAUCUAUCUAACAGAUAGGCUCUUUCUGCUUCCUGACCACCAAGUGUUUAUAAGUAUGCUUCUUUAUCUACCUUUUGUUAGUAGGUCAGAUGUUAAUUGUUAUACCAAUUAGCUCCUCUUCUGCUAUUCCAGUGCUGUGCUAUGCAGUUCCAACUGCUAAGCUUAGUAUAUAUUUGUGUCAUAAUUUGUGUAAACAUUUAUGUAACUCUUUUUUGUACAAUAAAU
ensembl:lncRNA